rnacentral:misc_RNA from 1 species
GACGUAGGAUGCAAGCGCUGUCCGGAAUUAUUGGGCGUAAAGAGUUCGUAGGCGGUGAUUUAAGUCCGAUGUUAAAGAUCGAAGCUCAACUUCGACUUGGCAUUGGAAACUGGAUUGCUAGAGUGCAGUAGAGGUAAUGGGAAUUCUCGGUGUAGCGGUGAAAUGCGUAGAUAUCGGGAGGAACACCAGUGGCGAAAGCGCAUUACUGGGCUGCAACUGACGCUGAGGAACGAAAGCCAGGGGAGCGAAAGGG